GAAAUGACGUACAAGCCUGGCUUCCUACUUUCAUUUUCGUUUUUGUCCUAGCGAGGCACAUUUGAUUUGCGUUAAUACAAGUUUUUUUCCUUUCUCGCAAUUAAACUAUGGUCAGGAUGAACUCUAAGAUGUUUAUUGUGUUACUCGUUCUGGUAAAUACUGUGAAGGCGACCGAAUCAAAUACCAUUUCCUUAAAAGUUGGCGACCAGCUUGCGCUUCCAGGUGGCAUAAAUAAGUCUGUAAAACAAAUCCUUUGGAAACUAAACGCCAACAAGGUGGUAGAGUGGGACCCAUUCUUUAACACAACCGUGUAUGGUGUAUUCGAGAAACGCACAACUUUGGACAUUGCCACUGGAAAUAUUUCAAUUCGUGAUGUGCGGACAUCAGACAGUGGAAUGUUCUCUUUUGAGUUCGAUCACACACAACAUAAGUCAUUUAAAAUAGCAGUGAUCAACGAAGUAGCCACACCCACAAUUAACUUUACCUGUGACACAGCCAUGACCUCAUGCAAUCUUACCUGUGUGGGAGACGUCGCUGGAGCCGGGACAGUGAUCUACAACUGGAAAGCAAAUGGAGCGAAACUCAAUGUUUCAGACAAAAACCAUAUCACUGAAAAUAACAAUAUUGAAGCAUUCACCUGUAUGAUGGAGAACAGUGUGAGCCAGAAGGAGAGUGCAUCCCUCAAUAACCCAUUGUAUUCUCCAGUUCCGACUCCUUCAGUGAAACCGGUAUUGCCAUCAAAGACCCUGCUUGGUAUUUCACUCUUCGUUUUAUUAAUCACUUCAAUCUUUGUGUUCGUCUUCAUGCACAAAUGUAAAUCAGGAGUUUGGUUCUAUGAGACAGACUCCAUGCCUUGGGAAACAGACUUUUGGAGAAAACAGGGAAACUCUGGUGACCAAGAGUCCCCGGAGAUCAACCAAUCAAAGAAGGGCGUCAAAGCUGGAGCUGCUGAGGAUGCAGUAGCAAAGGGGCCAAAAGAAGUCAUUCAGCAGACGCUCUUAUCCAGAGCGACUUACAGUAAGUACAGGGACAUUCCCCCUGAAGCAAGUAGGGUGAAGUGCCUUGCCCAAAGACACAAUGUCAUUUUGCACGGCCGGGAAUCGAACUGGCAACCUUCAGAUUACUAGCCCGAUUCCCUAACCGCUCAGCCACCUGACUCCUCCCCUUGACACCAUAAGCAUUUGAAGACAAACUGAUGACUUCAUGGAGCAGAGCUGAAGAAGAUGCUAGUUGUUUGAAUGAGAAUGGAACCUAGGUUACUCAUGAACCAUAAUGAUGGAUCAUGAUGAGUGAUGGCACAGAGGAUCACUGUCACCAAUCUCAUCCAGUUACUCUGUACUAUUGGUGAAUGAAGAACAGCCAUGCUGACCCAAUGUCUGAACUAUGCCGAUGUCGAAAGUACACCUGAGAUAACCCUGCUUGUACAGUAUUUGUGUAUGUAUGUAUGUAUGUAUGUAUGUAUGUAUGUAUGUAUGUAUGUAUGUGUGUACACAAACCUAGUUUUUUAUUAUUAUUGUGCCUAUAUGUUACACGUAGUGUACAGUGGAUGGGUCACACAAAGUAUAGGUCACACAACUUAUGCGGUUGUAAAACAGUUUGAGCUAUUUCAAAAUAGUUUGAAAUGAGUCAAGCACUGUUGUCUUAAAGUAUUCUGUUCAUUUCAUGGAAUGACAUUUCUCUUGUUUUUGUAGUGCUUAUGGGACAAACUGGGAGGUGUAAAAUGUGAGCCUUUAAACUAUUUCAACAGAAUGAACAUUGAAAACUAUUUUUUUAAUCGCAUGACUUCUAACAUUUGAAUGUAAACAACCUGUAUUGAUUAACCCUGUGUGUAUGUCUCUUUGAAUAAAUCCACUCUGUUUUGUGUGUAAGAGUUUUGAUAUGUAUAAAAUAAAAUGUAUAGCCAUUAAACAGUGCAGUACUCAUUGCAGACCUACAAAGAUGUCUAUUAAAAUCUCUGGUAAUUU